rnacentral:rRNA from 1 species
AUUGAACGCUGGCGGCAUGCCUUACACAUGCAAGUCGAACGGCAGCACGGGAGCAAUCCUGGUGGCGAGUGGCGAACGGGUGAGUAAAGUAUCGGAACGUGCCCAGUCGUGGGGGAUAACGUAGCGAAAGUUACGCUAAUACCGCAUACGAUCUAUGGAUGAAAGCGGGGGAUCGCAAGACCUCGCGCGAUUGGAGCGGCCGAUAUCAGAUUAGGUAGCUGGUGGGGUAAAGGCUCACCAAGCCGACGAUCUGUAGCUGGUCUGAGAGGACGACCAGCCACACUGGGACGGAGACACGGCCCAGACUCCUACGGGAGGCAGCAGUGGGGAAUUUUGGACAAUGGGCGAAAGCCUGAUCCAGCCAUGCCGCGUGCAGGAUGAAGGCCUUCGGGUUGUAAACUGCUUUUGUACGGAACGAAAAGGUUUGGGCUAAUAAGCUGAGCUCAUGACGGUACCGUAAGAAUAAGCACCGGCUAACUACGUGCCAGCCGCCGCCGUAAAAC